rnacentral:misc_RNA from 1 species
GCCGAAGGUGGGGCUAAUGACUGGGGUGAAGUCGUAACAAGGUAGCCGUACCGGAAGGUGCGGCUGGAUCACCUCCUAACAGGGAGACAACAAAAUGUAAAUAUUAAUUUUGUCACCUUAGGUCGAUCGGUAUCUCAGAUUCUUAAUUUUAAGAAUUUCAGUUUCUAAGUUUUUUCUAGGUCACACCCAUCACUUUUCCUGGGCCAUUAGCUCAGGUGGUUAGAGCGCACCCCUGAUAAGGGUGAGGUCCCUGGUUCAAGUCCAGGAUGGCCCAUAUCUCUAUGUUGGGGGUAUAGCUCAGUUGGUAGAGCGCCUGCUUUGCAAGCAGGAUGUCAGCGGUUCGAGUCCGCUUACCUCCACUGAAUACCACCUCUUACAUAUUGUUAAUGAGGGAAUUUGUUUUGUGUCGUGCCCUAAUUGCUCUGAGAGAAUCUAGCUUCCUAUUUUUUAUUCAAUAAAUAAGAUGCUGGACUCAUUGAAUAUUUAUUCUUUGAUUUCAGAGAACCUUGACAACUGCAUAGAUUAUUUUUGAAGACAAUAAGCAUCUUUAAUGAUGCAGAUUUAUUAUUUUUGCUAAAGCAUUAAAUAACAAUUCUAUUAAGCUGAUGCUUCAAUUAUUGAAGUUAUUGGUCAAGCUACAAAGGGCUCACGGAGGAUACCU